rnacentral:rRNA from 1 species
AAUCCAGUUUAUCCUGCUGGCGGAUGCGGCUAUCUGGUUUGUACUUAGGCAUGCAAGUCUCCCGCGAGGGGGCGAACUGCUCAGUAACACGUAGCUAACCUGCCUUUAGGUCAUGGAUAACCUCGGGAAACUGAGGAUAAACCGUGAUAGGAAAUAAUUUCUGGAAUGAGUUAUUUCUGAAGUUCGAGCCUAAAGAUGGGGUUGCGGCUGAUUAGCUUGUUGUUGGUGUAAAGGACUAACAAGGCGAUGAUCAGUAAGGGCUCUUAGCGGAGAAGCCCUGAGAGGGAAUCUGAGACACUAUUCCCAGUCCUACGGGGUGCAGCAGCCGAGGAACUUUUACAAUGCGCGAAAGCGUGAUAAAGCAAGCCAGAGUGUUGCUCUUAGAGCAACUUUUGUCUGCUGUAAAAAGGCAGGCGAAUAAGGACUGGGCAAGACCGGUGCCAGCCGCCGCGGUAAUACCGGCGGUCCAAGUCGCAUCCACAAUUAUUGGGUCUAAAACAUUCGUAGCUUGCUUUGUAAGUCUCUUGUAAAAUCUCAUGUCUCAAGCAUGAGGCACGCAAGAGAUACUGCAUUGCUAGAGACCGGAAGACGCAAGGAGAACGAUUAAGGUAGUGGUAAAAUACGUUAAUCUUAAUCGGACUAACAACGGCGAAGGCACCUUGCGAGUACGGAUCUGACAGUGAGGGAUGAAGGCUAGGGGCGCAAAAGGGAUUAGAUACCCCUGUAGUCCUAGCAGUAAACACUGCUCACUAAACAUCGGCACCUCCUCGAGAGGUGUCGGUGCUGUAGGGAAGCUGAAGAGUGAGCUACCUGGGAAGUAUAGUCGCAAGGCCGAAACUUAAAGGAAUUGGCGGGGAGGUACUACAACGGGUGACGCGUGCGGUUUAAUUAGAGUCUACACCGUGAAUCUCA